AGUAACGGCGAGCGAACGGGGAAGAGCUCGUAGNNGAAGCNNNNUCGAGAGGCUUUGGAAAUGUGGCGUAUGGGAGGCGGCAUCCUCCGGGUGCGGGCACGGGUGCAAGUCCCCAUGAGAGGGGCAUGCUUCCCGGAGCGGGUGCUAGGCCCUUAAUGCCUGUGCACCGCACACGGAGUCGCCGUUCUCCUGGGAGUCGGGUUGCUUGGGAGUGCAGCCCAAAGUGGGUGGUAAACUCCACCUAAAGCUAAAUAAGACCGAGAGACCGAUAGCAAACAAGUACCGUGAGGGAAAGUUGAAAAGCACUUUGAAGAGAGAGUUCAAGAGUACGUGAAACCGUUUGGAGGUAAACGGGUGGGGCCUCGAAAGCCUAAGGCGGUGGCGGAUUCAGUUUCGGGUCCAUGGUUCCCUCCUCCGUUCAGCCUCGUCGAGAGGAGGCUGGGGAGGGGCUUCUGUGGGUCCGGAGCGCACUUCUGCACCCCGUCCAAUGGGACGUCGCAACCGGUUGAACGGCCGUCGUGGGGCCUGGACGAAAGGUGGCCGCCUUUUCUUCGGGAUCGGCGGUGUUAAGGCGUCCUUGAACCUGAGGGGCCGUUCGACCGUGGAAGGAGGCUUGCCUCGACUACGCUCUCGCCCGAGGGAGCGGCCUUUCGGAGGCUCUCGGUUUGCAUUGGCGUGUCGCCUCGAGGGGCGAGGGCCGUGUACGCUGGGAUUCCCUUCGUUGGAGCCGCGGAGAGCAUGAGGUUUGCGACGAGUAGGUCGGUCUCCCACCCGACCCGUCUUGAAACACGGACCAAGGAGUCCAAUGCGCGUGCGAGUUCCCGGGACUUGAUUAGGCCCGUGGGCGCAAUGAAAGUGAAGGUCGACUUCCGUCGGCCGAGCUGGGAUCCUCCCUUAAACGGGAGGCGCACCAGCGGCCCGUUCGAGCUCGGUUUCGGGCGGWCGGAGCUAGAGCACGUGCCUUGGGACCCGAAAGAUGGUGAACUAUGCCUGGGCAGGGUGAAGCCAGAGGAAACUCUGGUGGAGGCCCGUAGCGAUUCUGACGUGCAAAUCGAUCGUCGGACCUUGGUAUA
rnacentral:rRNA from 1 species